rnacentral:rRNA from 1 species
CCUACGGGAGGCAGCAGUGAGGAAUAUUGGUCAAUGGUCGCAGGGCUGAACCAGCCAAGUCGCGUGAGGGAUGACGGUCCUAUGGAUUGUAAACCUCUUUUGUCAGGGAGCAAAGGGCGCCACGUGUGGCGCUUUGCGAGUACCUGAAGAAAAAGCAUCGGCUAACUCCGUGCCAGCAGCCGCGGUACUACGGAGGAUGCGAGCGUUCUCCGGAUUUAUUGGGUUUAAAGGGUGCGCAGGCGGAAUGUCAAGUCAGCGGUAAAAUUUCGGGGCUCAACCCCGUCGUGCCGUUGAAACUGGCGUUCUUGAGUGAGCGAGAAGUAUGCGGAAUGCGUGGUGUAGCGGUGAAAUGCAUAGAUAUCACGCAGAACUCCGAUUGCGAAGGCAGCAUACCGGCGCUCAACUGACGCUCAUGCACGAAAGCGUGGGUAUCGAACAGGAUUAGAUACCCCGGUAGUC